rfam:Atopobium vaginae DSM 15829 Contig27.fasta, whole genome shotgun sequence.
GUCAGCGAUUUUGGCAGGGGAGGUACACCCGGUCCCAUUCCGAACCCGGAAGUUAAGCCCCCUAGCGCCGAUGGUACUGCGGAGUUAGUCCGUGGGAGAGCAGGACGUCGCUGACC